rnacentral:lncRNA from 1 species
AUGUUCUAUCAUUCUCAAGACUGGAUGGUGACCUGUCCUCAUGGCAGCCUGGCACAGCCCCAGAAGGGGAAUUCUUUAGCCACCAGACGUCCCCUUCCAGACACUGAAGGCCCCAGUAAGGCAAACUGUAUCCUUCGCUCAAGGAAGAUGGAGAAUAGAAGUGUUGUUCAAGGCCAAGCCCCAGGCAUGAGAGGGUUCAUCCAGAGUCCUGUGUCUGAGGACAGGAGGGAAGCGGAAGAGGCAUGCAGCCGAAGCAGAAAUGUGGGCCAAGAAGAUGUGAGCCGGGACACAACGCAGGAGCGGAGGGUAAAGAAGAUGCAGCCAAAGAAUGGAGGGAGGAAAGAAAAGAGGGAACAGUGGUGGGGAGGGGAAGACAAGACAAAUGUGAUUGGUCCCUGUUUGGGGGAGAGAUAUAAGCCCAGCAGGGGCACCCUUGAGCAUCUGGGGACCCUCUGCAGAGCUCCUGAUAUUGGCUGGGGUGAACCCUCAGUGUCACUGCCUUGUCUGCCACUAGAAUCUGACAGGCUGGCCGGCAGGCACAGGGGAGCCUUGGCAGUGACGGGACAUCCCCACCCCCUGGUAGCCAGGGGCAACCUCUUUGGGGCCUUCCAGGAAGAUAAGCUGCCUUCUUAGUGUUUCUGGCUCUUCUAGUUCAACAACAUAGACUUAGGGUUUCUGGCUGAAAACACACGUCUCCCAAGAGGCAGAUUCAUGGCAUAUGGUCAUACAAAAGGAUCGUCACCCGCCAGAGUGAAGGCAAGCUCCCUGCAGUCCCUGUGGCCAGUUUGGGGCACGGUUGCCACCCUUACGCCAAAGGGUUGGGUGAGGAAACAGGCUCUCGAAGCUUCUGAGGUUUACAAAGGCCUGAAACAUCCCAUGUUUGUAUCCUGUUUACACUGUGCGCCCACUGUCAGCCCACCGCAGAGCGGGACUCUCCCCGUACAACAUUGACCUUUCCCUCCCUGACUUCUUUUAGUACGAAUAAUCAAUAGCCCAGAUUUAUCUCUCAACUCUCUUCUUAAUAUUCUUUCCCUUUGAGUUAUUAUUGUCUUCUUUAAUUGUAAAUGCUAGAGCUUCUUGGUUCCUGGUAUACGAGGACUGAGAAAACAGUUGGGGCUGGGGCUUGGUCAGAACACAUAGAUGAAUGUGUGUUAGAUUGGUCCUCCCAGGCUGUCAGAUUGUUGUGACUUGAGAAUUCUGAAGAACCUGGCUAACCAAGAAUAUCUCCCUCCUCCCAGCUGACCUGCCUAGAUGUCUGAAAUUCCUAUCUUUUAUGUCAUUCCCUGAUGACUUCUAGAGAAGUGUUUAUUUUAGUUGGACAAAAUGCUAUCACCUGGGAGAGGCAGUGUGUUAGUCAGCUAUCACCCUAGUAAGAAUUGGGUUGCUUAAUUAAUUUUUGUUAUGAUGUGGAGACUAGAAGCCUUAGAAAUGGAGUCCUAGGCCAGGAUGUUUUGGGUGUCAGAGGUGGGGAAGAGAGAGGCAAAGAAGGCUACAGUCCUGGGGCCUUGAGUGGUGACAGGUGACAGCACUGACUGGGUCAAGGAGGGUCCUGGAUGUAGUGAGAAAAGACACACCAAAGAGAAACUGAUUUUACAGUUUGCCUUAGGUAAGGCCACCUUGUACAUCCCAUAAGCAAGGUCUUAGGUCUCUGAAGGCAGGGACUGGCCGGUGUAUAUCUUGUACAUCCUUCAGACUGACCCACAAUACAUGGGUGUGUGUUCUCUUAGGUGACAGAAUGGAGCCAGCUGUGCACACAUAGUUCACUCAGUGAGGCCUCCCCAUCACCCCAGGGAGGGAUCUUGAGCUGCCUCCCCGGGGAGUUGGUCUUUUGCUCUUCUGGGGACUUGAAGGACUCAUGGCAAAAACCACAAGUGGAAUUAAAAGCCAGAGCAGCUCUACUAAGUGCAUUAAGGGACACAUUUCUCCAAAAAGCAAAAUUAGUAAAACAGAAACCAAAGCCUGUUUUCUGCAAAAUAAAAGGGUGCUCUCUCAGGCCCCCUUCUUGGCC